rnacentral:rRNA from 1 species
AGAGAAUAGAUACCCGGGUAGUCCACGCCGUAAACGAUGAAUACUAGGUGUGGGGGUUGUCACGACCUCCGUGCCGCCGCUAAACGCAUUAAGUAUUCCGCCUGGGGAGUACGGUCGCAAGAUUAAAACUCAAAGGAAUUGACGGGGGCCCGCACAAGCAGCGGAGCAUGUGGUUUAAUUCGAAGCAACGCGAAGAACCUUACCUAGACUUGACAUCUCCUGAAUUACUCUUAAUCGAGGAAGUCCCUUCGGGGACAGGAAGACAGGUGGUGCAUGGUUGUCGUCAGCUCGUGUCGUGAGAUGUUGGGUUAAGUCCCGCAACGAGCGCAACCCUUAUUGUUAGUUGCUACCAUUUAGUUGAGCACUCUAGCGAGACUGCCCGGGUUAACCGGGAGGAAGGUGGGGAUGACGUCAAAUCAUCAUGCCCCUUAUGUCUAGGGCUACACACGUGCUACAAUGGUCGGUACAGAGAGAUGCUAAACCGUGAGGUGGAGCCAAACUUUAAACCGAUCUCAGUUCGGAUUGUAGGCUGAAACUCGCCUAC